rnacentral:rRNA from 1 species
ACGAACGCUGGCGGCGUGCCUAAUACAUGCAAGUCGAACGCUUCUUUUUCCACCGGAGCUUGCUCCACCGGAAAAAGAGGAGUGGCGAACGGGUGAGUAACACGUGGGUAACCUGCCCAUCAGAAGGGGAUAACACUUGGAAACAGGUGCUAAUACCGUAUAACAAUCGAAACCGCAUGGUUUUGAUUUGAAAGGCGCUUUCGGGUGUCGCUGAUGGAUGGACCCGCGGUGCAUUAGCUAGUUGGUGAGGUAACGGCUCACCAAGGCGACGAUGCAUAGCCGACCUGAGAGGGUGAUCGGCCACAUUGGGACUGAGACACGGCCCAAACUCCUACGGGAGGCAGCAGUAGGGAAUCUUCGGCAAUGGACGAAAGUCUGACCGAGCAACGCCGCGUGAGUGAAGAAGGUUUUCGGAUCGUAAAACUCUGUUGUUAGAGAAGAACAAGGAUGAGAGUAACUGUUCAUCCCUUGACGGUAUCUAACCAGAAAGCCACGGCUAACUACGUGCCAGCAGCCGCGGUAAUACGUAGGUGGCAAGCGUUGUCCGGAUUUAUUGGGCGUAAAGCGAGCGCAGGCGGUUUCUUAAGUCUGAUGUGAAAGCCCCCGGCUCAACCGGGGAGGGUCAUUGGAAACUGGGAGACUUGAGUGCAGAAGAGGAGAGUGGAAUUCCAUGUGUAGCGGUGAAAUGCGUAGAUAUAUGGAGGAACACCAGUGGCGAAGGCGGCUCUCUGGUCUGUAACUGACGCUGAGGCUCGAAAGCGUGGGGAGCAAACAGGAUUAGAUACCCUGGUAGUCCACGCCGUAAACGAUGAGUGCUAAGUGUUGGAGGGUUUCCGCCCUUCAGUGCUGCAGCUAACGCAUUAAGCACUCCGCCUGGGGAGUACGACCGCAAGGUUGAAACUCAAAGGAAUUGACGGGGGCCCGCACAAGCGGUGGAGCAUGUGGUUUAAUUCGAAGCAACGCGAAGAACCUUACCAGGUCUUGACAUCCUUUGACCACUCUAGAGAUAGAGCUUCCCCUUCGGGGGCAAAGUGACAGGUGGUGCAUGGUUGUCGUCAGCUCGUGUCGUGAGAUGUUGGGUUAAGUCCCGCAACGAGCGCAACCCUUAUUGUUAGUUGCCAUCAUUUAGUUGGGCACUCUAGCAAGACUGCCGGUGACAAACCGGAGGAAGGUGGGGAUGACGUCAAAUCAUCAUGCCCCUUAUGACCUGGGCUACACACGUGCUACAAUGGGAAGUACAACGAGUCGCAAAGUCGCGAGGCUAAGCUAAUCUCUUAAAGCUUCUCUCAGUUCGGAUUGUAGGCUGCAACUCGCCUACAUGAAGGCGGAAUCGCUAGUAAUCGCGGAUCAGCACGCCGCGGUGAAUACGUUCCCGGGCCUUGUACACACCGCCCGUCACACCACGAGAGUUUGUAACACCCGAAGUCGGUGAGGUAACCUUUUGGAGCCAGCCGCCUAAGGUGGGAUAGAUGAUUGGGGUG